AGGAGGAGAGGGAAAUGUCACCCGGAGUCCCGGCUCCGGGGGGAGAGGUGGCGCGAUAGGGAUGUGUGAGGGAGAGAGAGAGGAGAGAGGGGCAGCGAGACCUCCGCCGGCCCCGCGGACUUGUCAAGUUGAAAACAGCAGGCUUUGGGGCUGAGACCAUCAUGGCCACGAACACUACAGCUACUCAGAAAAUACGUAAUUCUGGAGCUCCUUACAGAAAAAGUAGUGCAAGGCGACUUCAGAGCAGUUGCCAAGUGAUCUCCACAGCACCCAUGAACUUCAGCCUUGAACUGAAGAGGACUCAUCAAAUGCCAUAUGAGAGACAGCAUGGAAUUGCAAGAGAAGCAGGGAUCUCAGUGAAGGGCAGUCAACUACGGUCUUGGUGUGUGGAGGAGCAGGUCCUGUUCUCCCUGUUGUUGCUCCCACAUAGGCGGACUCUGUAAUUGAUUAUGUGUGGGUAGGGCUUUAUUGAAAUUCAGGAGAUUCUGCAAUAGUGCAGGGUUCUUUUUGUGAAAGUUCAGUUGCAAGAUCAGGACUCUACUGUGACUCCUUACUGUGAAUUCUGUCAGUGUAUCAUUGAUAGUGCUGGAACCUGCCUUUUGGGAUAAUUACCAAAUACUAUAUUCCUCAAAACUUCUUAAUGGCACUGAGGCUUUGUGGAUAAUUGGUCACAUGAUGAGAAAAUUCAGCUAAGGAAGGGAAAGACGAAAAACAGUGUAAUGAGCAUAGGAGAAAUAACAGGGUGAGAGGGGAGGAGUCAGAUCCUGCGGUUCAUGUGGCUGGCAAACACAGAAGUAAUUUCACGAAUGAAAAUGGAAGAUGCAAAAUCAAUGAAGAUUGUAUUAAAGAGUAAUACUGAAUAAAAGGAAAUCUGAGACACUGUUUACAAAUCAGAGCAGUUAUUUGAAAAGGUGGUUGAAGAGACAGCAAAGAAAAAUGAUAGUCAAUAAGGAUUUUUUGCCUGUUCAUGCAAGCAGUACUAUUACUCUGCUUACACUACUUGAUCCUCUGGGCAGGAAGCUGGUCUCAGCAUUGUCAAUACCCUUUUUCCUUGGCUUCUAACUCUAUAUAGCACAUGUUCUUCAGGUCUACUUUACCUGUAGUGUUGAGCUAUUGUGAUAGUUUGGUUUUUAUGACUUGCAUCAAGCAUGAAGCUUUCAAAACCAUGUGUCAAAGUCAUUCUUCUCCACAAAGAAACAAAUAAUCGUGGGGAAAAACAUCUAAAGGAGAAGAAUGUCCCCUCAGGAUCAGCAUUUCUUCACUUCAACAGAUGCAUAAGCAAAAUACAACGUGGUUUGUUCUUGAAUUAAGCAAUUCAGUGCUUGGACCUAAUCCUGAAACCUGUCACUACUUCAGGUGUUUUGUGUCUCAAAAGAUCACGGACUGCUCAUUGCCUGUGUGGCUCAUGAAGGCAACAAGAUGGGAGAACUGAAGAAACAGUGUUGCGAAGCCAUAUAUCUGCUCAAAGCCAUAAAGAAGACCAGUGACAAAUCCAGGAACAGAAACCAAGUCUCCUGAGUUGCAACUUACUGCCACUAAAUAUUGUGAUCAACAAGACAGUUUGCCUUCUGAUGUUAGUGAGGACCUAUGUAGCAAGUGGUGAUGAUCUCUGAGAUAUUUUUCUGCAGUAAGAGCCCCUGGGUAUCCCACCUGGCCUCUCACUGCUAGUUUAAAGAUGUGAGUCUCCUGUAAGUUCCACAUCAUCUCUUCCAGCCCUGCAUGCUCCAGGGUAUUU